ensembl:lncRNA
GGACUUGAGCAUCUGCAGACUUUGGAGUCUGAUGGGGUCCUGGAACCAAUCGUCUUUGGACACUGAGAGAUAACUGUGCAACACUGUCUUACUUCAACCUGUGAGGCAGCACCAGUAUGAUUCUCAUUCUACCCUUGAGGAUCUGGGGCUUGCCUUCCACCACCCUUCCUGUCCCUUCAGUGCUGGCCCAUCCUUGGAGCUGGGCUAGAUGACCGACUUCCACCAUGAAGGGGAAGCUGCCUACCUAGGAAGCAAAGAGAGAUGGAAAUGAAGACCACGACUGAGGACCAAGCUUUCAACACAUGGGCCAUUAGGGGACAGCUGGUUUUAACCUCAACAUAAAACAGGGGCCCUUUCCCCAGAGCCCCUUCCACUUCCCACCUGCCUCUUCCCACAGUUCCUCCUCCUGAGGAAGAGGUGAUUAAGACCCAGACUCACACAGGUGACCGUGUGAAGACACAAGGAGAAGAUGUGUACCCACAAGUUCCUAGAAUAGAGUCUGGCACAAAAUUGGACAGCUUUUCCUUUGCCAUGUCUGCCAUCCUGUUUCUGCUUGGAGUUAGCCGACAGUGGUCUGAAACUAUAAG